UUCCGGUUGAUCCCGCCGGAGGUCACUGCUAUCGGGGUUCGAUUAAGCCAUGCGAGUCGAGAGGGUUCGGCCCUCGGCGUACUGCUCAGUAACACGUGGAUAACCUGCCCUAGGGAAGGGGAUAACCCCGGGAAACUGGGGAUAAUACCCUAUAGAUUACAGAUGCUGGAAUGCCCUGUAAUCCAAAGUUCCGACGCCCUAGGAUGGAUCUGCGGCCGAUUAGGUUGUUGUUGGGGUAAUGGCCCAACAAGCCCGUAAUCGGUACGGGUUGUGGGAGCAAGAGCCCGGAGUUGGAUUCUGAGACACGAAUCCAGGCCCUACGGGGCGCAGCAGGCGCGAAAACUUUACAAUGCGGGCAACCGUGAUAAGGGAACCUCGAGUGCCUGUAAAUGCAGGCUGUUCAGGUGCCUAAAACACACCUGAAGAAAGGGCCGGGCAAGACCGGUGCCAGCCGCCGCGGUAACACCGGCGGCCCGAGUGGUGACCGUUAUUAUUGGGUCUAAAGGGUCCGUAGCCGGUUUGGUCAGUCCUCCGGGAAAUCUGAUAGCUUAACUGUUAGGCUUUCGGGGGAUACUGCCAGGCUUGGAACCGGGAGAGGUAAGAGGUACUACAGGGGUAGGAGUGAAAUCUUGUAAUCCCUGUGAGACCACCUGUGGCGAAGGCGUCUUACCAGAACGGGUUCGACGGUGAGGGACGAAAGCUGGGGGCACGAACCGGAUUAGAUACCCGGGUAGUCCCAGCCGUAAACUAUGCUCGCUAGGUGUCAGGCAUGGCGCGACCGUGUCUGGUGCCGCAGGGAAGCCGUGAAGCGAGCCACCUGGGAAGUACGGCCGCAAGGCUGAAACUUAAAGGAAUUGGCGGGGGAGCACAACAACGGGUGGAGCCUGCGGUUUAAUUGGACUCAACGCCGGACAACUCACCGGGGACGACAGCAAUAUGUAGGCCAGGCUGAAGACCUUGCCUGAAUCGCUGAGAGGAGGUGCAUGGCC
rnacentral:rRNA from 1 species